UCUGUCUUAGUGGCGGACGGGUGAGUAACGCGUGGGCAACCUGCCCUGUACCGGGGAUAACACUUAGAAAUAGGUGCUAAUACCGCAUAAUAGGGAAUACCGCAUGGUAAUCCUUUGAAAACUCCGGUGGUACAGGAUGGGCCCGCGUCUGAUUAGCCAGUUGGCGGGGUAACGGCCCACCAAAGCGACGAUCAGCAGCCGGCCUGAGAGGGUGGACGGCCACACUGGGACUGAGACACGGCCCAGACUCCUACGGAAGGCAGCAG
rnacentral:rRNA from 1 species